rnacentral:lncRNA from 1 species
CAUGCAUAAACACAUACAAUAGCUCCUAGGGGCUUCAAACUAUCCUAAACCCCAACUACAACACAUCAAACACACAUAAACAACCCACAUUGCACAAUAACUCAACAUAAACCCUUAAACUCAACAUAAACCUACACAUGCAUUUCUACCCCCAAGAAUCAACUUAAAACUUGUUUAAAACAUACAAGGAAGGUUGGAUCUAAGCUUACCUCUUGAAGAUCGAGAGGAAAGACGAUCCUAGCUUGGAGAUGGGGAGAAAUCGCCUCUUUGGUCUCCAAGCUUCAAAACUUGCUCUUUUGCUCAAAAAUCUUCAAACCAAGUGAAAACUCAUAAGAAAAUCAUGAAGAUUCGAAGGAAGAAGCUCAAAAUCGAUGAGGGACAGUGGAGGACUCACCUUGGCCGAAGAUGGGGAGAAAAGCUCACCCGUUCGGACAUGGGGACCCCUUUAUAGGUGGCUGGCCAUGCCACUUUCGGGGGCCUAACGUGCCUCCGUAUGCAUUCCAUGUUCGGCGGCCGAACCUGGACUUCCCUCACUUAUGCCUUCGGGGGCCUAAAGCGCUCCCGAAGCGCAUGCAUGUUCGGUAGCCGAACUUGAGGUUCGGCGGCCGAACUUGAGGUUCGGCGGCCGAACUUGAGUUUUCCUCUCAAGACUAUUUUCAUUCAAAACUUAAUUUCUUUCUUGCUUAAAACCAUAAAAUACAUUAAAACAUUUUAUAAAAACAUGAUUUUACCCUUCUAGAGGUUUCCGACAUCCGAGAUUCCACCGAACGGUAGGAAAUUCCGAUACCGAAGUCUAGCUGGGUAUUACAUUCUUCCCCCCUUAAGAACAUUCAUCCCUGAAUGUUCACCAACAAACAUGGCAUAGCAUAAAAUAUGAACAUACAAGGCAUAAAACAUAAACAUUCACAUAAAACACAUAACACUUACUUUAAAAGAGAUGAGGAUAUUGCUGGAGUAUGGACUCCUGUGUCUCCCAGGUACACUCCUCAAUGUUGUGGUGAUUCCAAAGGACUUUCACCAUCAAGAUUUCCUUGUUUCUCAACUUUAUAAUAUGGGUGUCUAUGAUCUGCACUGACUGUUCAACAUAGGUGAGAUCUUCUUGGAUCUCCACAUCAGGCUCACUAAGAACCUUGCCUGGAUCUGACACAAAUUUCCUUAACAUGGAAACAUGGAAAACCAGAUGGAUUCUCUCCAUUGAAGCAGACAAGUCCAGCUUGUACGAUACACUCCCAAUCUUUUGCAAGAUUUCAAAGGGUCCAAUGUACCGUGGAGCUAGCUUACCUUUCUUCCCAAACCGAAUCACCCUUUUCAUUGGAGACACCUUGAGCAAUACCAAAUCCCCCUCCUGAAACUCUACUAGCCUUCUGCGGACAUCUGCAUAACUCUUCUGUCUGCUUGCAGCAGUCUUGAUCCUUUCUCUGAUUAUGGGCACCACUCUGUUUGUGAUCUCUACUAGCUCAGGCCCUGCCAAGGCCUUUUCUCCUACUUUUUCCCAAUAGAUAGGCGACCUGUAUUUUCUUCCAUACAAAGCUUCCUAUGGAGCCAUCCCUAUGCUAGCAUGAUGACUGUUAUUGUAAGCAAACUCCACCAAAGGUAGAUGCUGCCUCCAAGAACCGCCAAAAUCUAGCACACACAUUCUGAGCAUAUCCUCUAUUGUCUGGAUGGUCCUCUCCGGCUGUCCAUCCGUCUGUGGAUGAAAAGCAGUGCUAAAAUCCAACCUGGUACCCAUAGCAUUCUGUAGACUCCGCCAAAACCUGGAGGUGAACUGGGGUCCUUUAUCAGACACUAUUGAAAUAGGAACCCCAUGCAACCUGACAACCUCAUCAACAUACACCUGCGCCAACUUGUCCACAGAGUAGUUCCUCCUGACAGGAAUGAAGUGAGCAGAUUUGGUCAGUCUGUCCACAAUCACCCAUAUGGAGUCUAAUCUGUUGGACGUUGCCGGUAACCCCACCACGAAGUCCAUAGCUAUAUUCUCCCAUUUUCACUCUGGAAUAGGUAGUGGGUUAAGCAUUCCAGCCGGCUUCUGAUGUUCUAGCUUCACCCUCUGACAUACUUCGCAGGCUGACACGAACUGUGCCACUUCUCUCUUCAUAGCUGGCCACCAAUACACUCUCUUCAAAUCUUGAUACAUCUUGGUGGCUCCAGGGUGAACACUGUAUCUGGCAUUAUGAGCCUCCCUCAUAAUGUCUCCCUUCAGACCUACGUCAUCUGGUAUACAUAAUUUAUUCCCAUAGCGGAGGAUCCCUUUGCUGUCAAAUCUGAACUCCUCAUUCUUGCCUGACUAAACAGUCCUGGCAAUCUUUACUAACUCUGGAUCCUCGUGCUGUUUCUGAGCCACCUGCUCUAGAAAUACGGGCGCCACUCUCAUCUGGGCUAUCAAAGCACCUGUACCAGACAACUCCAACUGUAGACCUUCAUUAAUGAGCUCGAAGAACUGCCUCACCAUUAGUCUCCUCUCUGCUGAAAUGUGGGACAAACUGCCAAGUGAUUUUCGGUUUAAGGCGUCUGCCACAACAUUCGCCUUACCCGGAUGGUACUGAAUCUUGCAAUCAUAGUCACUAAGCAGUUCUACCCACCUCCUCUGCCUCAGAUUCAGCUCUCUCUGACUCAGGAUGUACUGCAGGCUCUUAUGAUCGGUGAAGAUCUCACAUUUUACCCCAUAAAGGUAGUGCCUCCACAUCUUGAGUGCAAAGAUUACAGCUGCCAUUUCUAGGUCAUGUGUAGGGUAAUUAAACUCAUGCUUCUUCAGUUGCCUAGAAGCAUAAGCAAUCACCCUUUCAUUCUGCAUUAGCACACAACCCAGUCCCACACGGGACGCAUCGCAAUAGACUGAGAAGUCUUCAUUACUAAAUUGCAGAGCUAACACUGGUGUUGAAGUCAACCUCUUCUUUAACUCUUCAAAGCUCUCCUCACACUGGUCGGUCCACACAAACCUCUGGUUCUUCUUAGUCAGUCUGGUCAUGGGAGCUGUAAUUUUAGAGAAGUCCUAAACGAACCUCCUGUAGUAACCUGCUAAACCCAAGAAAGCUCUUGAUCUCUGUCACUGUAGUGGGUUUAGGCCAGUUUGCUACAGCUUCCACUUUCUUGGGGUCUACUUCGAUUUCAUUUUCUGACACCACAUGCCCCAAGAAUGAAAUGCUCCUUAGUCAGAACUCACAUUUGGAGAACUUGGCAUACAAGCCAUGUUCCCUCAAAGUCUGCAGAACUAACCUCAGAUGAUGGGCAUGCUCCUCUGCAUUCCUGGAAUACACUAAGAUAUCAUCUAUGAAGACAAUAACGAAGUGAUCCAGGUAUUGACUGAAAACUCUGUUCAUGAGAUCCAUGAAUGCUGCAGGGGCAUUGGUUAACCCGAACGGCAUCACAAGAAACUCAUAGUGCCCAUAUCUGGUUCUGAACGCCGUCUUCGGCACAUCCUCUUCUCUUAUCCUCAGCUGAUGGUACCCAGAUCUCAUAUCUAUUUUGGAGAAACAACCUGCUCCUGCUAGCUGGUCGAAUAGAUCGUCGAUCCUCGGCAACGGGUACUUAUUCUUGGUAGUGACCUUGUUCAACUGCCUGUAGUCGAUACAAAGUCUAAGGGAUCCAUCUUUCUUUUUCACGAAUAGCACUGGAGCACCCCAAGGUGAGGUACUCGGUCGGAUGAAGCCCUUAUCUACCAGCUCUUGCAACUGCUCCUUAAGCUCUUUCAAUUCAGCUGGUGCCAUCCUGUAGGGAGGGAUAGAGAUCGGUCUGGUUCCCGGCAUCAAUUCAAUUUCAAACUCUAUCUCCCUAGCAGGUGGUAAACCUGGCAGCUCGUCUGGGAACACAUCUAAAAACUCACUGACCACGGGCACUAAGGCGGGCUCUCUGACAUGACCAUCCAGCUCUCUCACAUGAGCUAGAAAACCCUGACAACCCCUCCUGAGCAGCCUAUGAGCCUGUAGGGCUAAUAUCAAACCUCUAGGUGUACCCCUCCUGUCUCCUCUGAAGACAACCUCUAACCCAUCCCGACAUCUGAACUUGACUACCUUGUCUCUGCAGUCCAAGGUAGCUCCAUGGGUAGAUAGCCAAUUCAUCCCUAGAAUGACGUCAAAAUCUAUCAAAUCUAGAACCACAAGGUCGGCAGAAAGGCACCUUCCCUCAAUAAAAACUGGACUACACUGGCAGACUGACUCUGCCACUGACGGGUCACACUUGGGUCCACUGACCCAUAGGGGACACUCUAACCCAGAGACCAUCAACCCCAACCUCUCGACGACUCUCGGAGCAAUGAAAGAAUGCGAUGCACCAGGGUCCAUUAAGGCAUAAACAUCAGAACAACCAAUGAUGAGAUUACCUGACACCACUGUGUUUGAUGCAUUUGCCUCCUUCUGUGUCAUGGUGAAGAUCCGUGCUGGAGCUGAUGGACCUUCACCCCUGAAACCCACUGAAGAAGAGGCUACCCCUCUCCCUUGGCCUCUGCCACUAGCUUGAGUCGCGGCUGGAGCUGCUGGCUGAGCCACACUACCCGAAUCUGUUUGCUGGGACUGUGCCACAAAAGCUGCUCUAGGACACUCUUGUGACAUGUGCCCCUCCUGCCUACAUCUGUAGCAGGCUGUCGUGCCAAACCGACAUACUCCUUUGUGCGGCUUCCCACACUUCAUACAUACUACAUUAUCUGCACCUGAGCUCGAGCCACUUCCUAAUCCCAGACCGGAUUUGAUCUUGUUCCAGAACUUGUUCUUCUUUGGCUUCUUGGUGGUAUUGCUCCACCUCUUACUAGCUGAACUCAGAGAAGAAGGGUCUACUCUUCCCCCACCUGGGGUCUUGGAACCAGAAGGCUGUGCCACUGACUGCUUGACUUUCCCUUCGAUGAUUGCACUAGCCUCCAUUCUCUAAGCCAUAUCCACUAUGGCAUGGAAACUCUCCCUCUCUACUGACUGAAUCAAGGAGGAAUACCUGGAAUGGAGCCUCAUGAUAUACCUCCUUGACUUCUUUUGAUCUGUGUCCAGAUUCUGCCCAGCAAAGGGCAACAGCUCCAAGAAUCUGUCUGUAUACUCAUCCACACUCAUUUCAUCUAUCUGCCUCAACUGCUCAAAUUCAAUCAUCUUCAACUCUCUUGAACUGUCAGGGAAAGCCCAUCCUGCAAACUCAUUUGCAAACUCCUCCCAUGAUAGGCUGUCCAACCUCGGGUUCACAUAGUUUUUAAACCAAUCACGUGCCUUCUUGCACUUCAAUGUGAACCCAACCAUCUGAAUGGCUCUACAAUCAUCAGCUCCUAUCUCAUAUGUUAUCAUCUUGACCCUCUCAAGGUACACAAACGGGUCAUCACCAGUUUCAUACUGAGGAGCACCCAGCUUCAUGUAGUCGGUCAUCUUGACCUUGCUCCCUCCAGAUGAGCUAGGCUUAGGCAUUUGGGUUACUGGGACAGUAGGUUCUGCUGGUGGUGGAGGAGGUGCAGCAUCCCCUGGGGUAGGGUUUGCUGUACCGGGAUAGAAUGAUGGGGGUGGGUACAUAGGGUACUGUGGGUAUGGUGGGUAGAAAGGUGGGUAUGGCAUGUGAGAGUGAUAAGGGUUAUAGUUGGGGUAAUCCGAUGUACCUCCCAUCGAAUACCCGGGAUUUUGAGAAAAAGGUGGGUACUGGGGUGGCUGAACAAAUCCCGAGGCCUGAGUGCCUCCUUGGGACUCUCCCACUUCCUCUUCCGACAUACUCACUCCAAGACUGCCAUCCCUCCUCUGAUCUACAUCCAUAUAAUCCCCCACAUCCUCUGACAUUCCUCCCUGAACUUUUCCCCUCACUGAUCUGCUUCUACCCAGAUCCAAAGACCUUCUAGGGUCUCUUACUGCUCUUUCUCUGCUGGACCUACUUGACAUUGCCCUAGGCAAUGCAGGAGGACGGGCAUCCGUGCCCUCGUCCUGGGGUGGCACUCCAGUCAAUCGUCCAGAUCGACGAGUUCCUCUCAUCCUGUUUACUAAAAAAUAGCACACAUCUCAUAAACAUUAGCAUCAAAUGGUUCAUGUGCGAACACAUGAACCCGCAUCACAUACAUAGCAUAUCGUUAAUGCACAUGCAUAUAAUCAUAGCAUUUCACAUCAUCAUUCAAGACAGGACUCUACAUCCUAUCAUAGUGGACAUGAUUUUCCUAUUGUGCUUGACCUUUUAGAACAUCUAUGAGCCCGACACUCUAGGUCCGACCAUAUGAACCUAGGGCUUUGAUACCAAUCUGUAACGACCCAAAAUCCGGACCGCUACCGGCGCUAGGAUCCAGAUCGGCAUAAGGCCGCCGGGACCCAUAGCAAGCCUAACAUACAACCUGUACACCUGUUUAAUCCCAUACAUGAUCAACACAUACAUCAAAAUUUUGAUAUUUUCUUUUCAUUCAUUCACCAAAAUCAACCUGUGCAUGCACUAUUCAUGAAUAUAACCAUAAACAUUAACCCCUCCUUGGAGUCCUCAUCAAUGCUCCAAUGGGGUGACAUAACAUGUAUUAAGUUUGGUUUACAUAAGCAUCAUUAAAAUCAUGUACUCAAAGGGAUUAACAACGUACUAGGGUCAAGCACAAUUCUAUCCUCAAUAACCUCAUUACAUUACAUAACUGAUUAAUACCAUUCAUUACAUGACUGUACUAAACAUUACAUUUCAACAUUUAUCAUGUCCACCACUAGCUAUUACAUAACCAAGACUUUACUCUAGCUGACCUCCUGGUCUAUCCCGUACCUGCAAACCUGGGGGUUAAGGGAGAGGGGUGAGCUAAAAAGCCCAGUGAGCAGAAUAAUAAAACAUUAUAUUAAAAAUUCAUGCUUUCAUGAAAUGCAACAUAUUUGUGAAUACUAAUGCAAACACCCUAACAUAUCACAUGGUAUCCAUGAUGCGUGAAUCAUGCUGAAAUAUUCAUUAUUUACUUUAAAACAUAAAGAGUUAUUCCACUCACCUCUGGCUAGCUCUGACCAGACACUGGAGCAGCUGACUCACUGCUGAGGUCCUCGGUUCCUCGGGUCCGAACCUACACAGGUGGACUCAAAUGAGGGACCAAACAUAUAAGAACACGACUCUAAAAAUACUCCCCAAAAACCCCCUAAAACACCUCAAAACAAUCAUAGAAAAUAUGCAAAGGAGGGCUGCACAGGGCACUUUCGGCGGCAGGUUCGGCGGCCGAAAGGCCCUCCAGAGCCGAAAGUCAUGCACUUUCGACGGCACUUUCGGCGGCCGAAGAUUCCCUCCAGAGACGAAACUCAUGCAUGUUCGGCGGCACCUUCGGCGGUCGAAACUUCCCUCCAGAGCCGAAAGUCCACUUUCGGGGGCAGGGUUCGGCAGCCAAAGGCUGGGCUCCACAGGUAGGUUCGGCGGCCGAAAGUCCUUUCGGCUGCCGAACCUGAGUUCUCCCAAAGGGGCAGAAACUCAGCUCCAACAUGCACAAAUGCCUCCCAAACUUCACAACUCAACCAAAACAUGCAUAAACACAUACAAUAGCUCCUAGGGGCUUCAAACUAUCCUAAACCCCAACUACAACACAUCAAACACACAUAAACAACCCACAUUGCACAAUAACUCAACAUAAACCCUUAAACUCAACAUAAACCUACACAUGCAUUUCUACCCCCAAGAAUCAACUUAAAACUUGUUUAAAACAUACAAGGAAGGUUGGAUCUAAGCUU